UGCUAAUGUUAACAUAUUUUUUUCUUUUGACGCGAAUGCGUAUGAAAAUAAUUGAAACUGAUUAUUUUCUCACGUUACCGCAAAGGCCCGGCUCCUCGCCGAAUUGGGUCGCAGCUAAUAGGCCAUUGUUGAUGCUAAUCUGUUUGUUGCAGAUUGAAACGGCCGAUUGAGAAGGUGAGAAGCGUAUGCAGGCCCACUUGCCUAAUUACGGAAUUAGAAUCGACCGCCUCAACUGGAACUACUUGAAGAGUAGGUGUAUUUGAGACGAUAUACGGAAUUGUAGUCAUCUUACAAACGAAUUGU